rnacentral:rRNA from 1 species
UACGUAGGGUGCGAGCGUUGUCCGGAAUUACUGGGCGUAAAGAGCUCGUAGGUGGUUUGUCGCGUUGUUCGUGAAAACUCACAACUCAAUUGUGGGCGUGCGGGCGAUACGGGCAGACUGGAGUACUGCAGGGGAGACUGGAAUUCCUGGUGUAGCGGUGGAAUGCGCAGAUAUCAGGAGGAACACCGGUGGCGAAGGCGGGUCUCUGGGCAGUAACUGACGCCGAGGAGCGAAAGCGUGGGGAGCGAACAGG